UACGGAGGGGGCUAGCGUUGUUCGGAAUCAUUGGGCGUAAAGCGCGCGUAGGCGGUUGCUUAAGUCGGAUGUGAAAGCCCUCGGCUUAACUGAGGAAGUGCAUCCGAAACUGAGCAGCUAGAGUACGAAAGAGGGUCGCGGAAUUCCCGGUGUAGAGGUGAAAUUCGUAGAUAUCGGGGAGGAACACCGGUGGCGAAGGCGGCGACCUGGGUCGAGACUGACGCUGAUGCGCGACAGCAUGGGGAGCAAACAGG
rnacentral:rRNA from 1 species